GUUUGAUCAUGUCAAAGUUGGAACGCUGGCGGGAUGCUUUACACAUACCAAGUCAGACAUAACGGCACGAACUGGUCUGGUGGCGAGUGGCGAGCGGUGAGUAAUGUGUCGGAACGUGCCUAGUAGCGGGGGAUAACUACGCGAAAGCGUAGCUAAUACAUACGCCCUUCGGGGAAAGCAGGGGACCUUCGGGCCUCGCACUAUUAGAACGGCCGAUGUGGUUAAGUAGUUGGUGGGUAACGGCUCGCAAGGCGACGAUCGUUAGCUGGUUUGAGAGAGGACGACCAGCCACUGGGACUGGGACGGCCCAGACUCCUACGGGAGGCAGCAGUGGGGAAUUUUGGACAAUGGGGGAAACCCUGAUCCGGCCAUCCCGCGUGUGCGAUGAAGGCCUUCGGGUUGUAAAGCACUUUGGCAGGAAAGAAACGGCACGGGAUAAUACCCCGUGCAACUGACGGCCUGCAGAAUAAGCACCGGCUAACUACGUGCCAGCAGCCGCGGUAAUACGUAGGGUACAAGCGUUAAUCAGAGUUACUGGGCGUAAAGCGUGCGCAGGCGGUUCGGGAAGAAAGAUGUGAAAUCCCGGAAGCUUAACUUUGGAACUGCAUUUUUAACUACCGAGCUAGAGUGUGUCAGAGGAGGUGGAAUUCCGCGUGUAGCAGUGAAAUGCGUAGAUAUGCGGAGGAGCACACCGAUGGCGGAGGCAGCCUCCUGGGAUAACACUGACGCUCAUGCACGAAGCGUGGGAGCAAACGGGAUUGAAUGCCCUGGUAGUCCACGCCCUAAACGAUGUCAACUAGCUGUUGGGGCCUUGAACCUUGGUAGCGCAACUAACGCGUGAAGUUGACCGCCUGGGAAGUACGGUCGCAAGAUUAAAACUCAAAGGAAUUGACGGGGACCCACUGGUGGAUGAUGUGGAUUAAUUCGAUGCAACGCGAAAAACCUUACCUACCCUUGACAUGGAAUCCCGAAGAGAUUUGGGAGUGCUCGCAAGAACCGGAACACAGGUGCUGCAUGGCUGUCGUCAGCUCAUUGUCGUGAGAUGUUGGGUUAGAAUCCGCAACGAGCGCAACCCUUGUCAUUAGUUGCUACGAAAGGGCACUCUAAUGAGACUGCCGGUGACAAACCGGAGGAAGGUGGGGAUAUCAAGUCCUCAUGGCCCUUAUGGGUAGGGCUUCACGUCAUACAAUGGUCGGGACAGAGGGUCGCCAACCCGCGAGAGGCCAAUCCCGAGAAACCCGAUCGUAGUCCGGAUCGCAGUCUGCAACUCGACUGCGUGAAGUCGAAUCGCUAGUAAUCGCGGAUCAGCAUGUCGCGGUGAAUACGUUCGGGUCUUGUACACACCGCCCGUCACACCAUGGGAGUGGGUUUUACCAAGUAGUUAGCCUAACCGUAAGGAGAGCGAUUACCACGGUAAGUUCAUGACUGGGGUGAAGUCGUAACAAGGUAA
rnacentral:rRNA from 1 species